UGGGGAAUAUUGGACAAUGGGGGAAACCCUGAUCCAGCAAUGCCGCGUGAGUGACGAAGGCCUUAGGGUUGUAAAACUCUUUUCUAAGUGAAGAUGAUGACGGUAACUUAGGAAUAAGCUCCGGCUAACUUCGUGCCAGCAGCCGCGGUAAUACGAAGGGAGCGAGCGUUGUCCGGAAUUACUGGGCGUAAAGAGCACGUAGGCGGCUAUAUGAGUUGGGUGUGAAAUCCCAGGGCUUAACCCUGGAACUGCACUCAAUACUGUAUAGCUAGAGACCGAGAGAGGAAAAUGGAAUUACGAGUGUAGAGGUGAAAUUCGUAGAUAUUCGUAGGAACACCAGAGGCGAAAGCGAUUUUCUGGCUCGGUACUGACGCUCAGGUGCGAAAGCGUGGGGAGCAAA
rnacentral:rRNA from 1 species